UUUAUGUUUAAUAGGUGAAAGUCUACGAAUAAAAAGAAAUGGAAGGAAAGAAGCAAAAAGGGCGGAAAUAGCAAAAUCCAAAGCACGUGGAUUAAAUUGGCCAUUGGAUACAAUUUUUGGGAAUCAAAGUAACUAUAAAAAUGGAAGGACUGAUUUGCUUCGCUUUGAAGAUUGAGUAUUUGGAGAGAAAUAAUUGAUUAAUGGGCCUCAAUUGGACAUGCCUUGGAAUUCAAGUUUAAUACUUAAUUGGACUUCCAAUUGGGUUACAACUAAAAGGGCUGCAUGGGGAUGAAUUUGGGUUUCUUUUUGGUCAAGUUAGUUGGCUAAUUUCAAGUAUAUAUACAUGCACUUACAGAAACGGAAAAAAAAAAAAGAAAAACCUAGAGAGCUGAGGGAAUUAGAAAAACGGCCGACAGGAGAGUCAGAGAAGCUGCGGCUGCUGGAGGAGAUUGUGGGGGCUGAUUUAUAUAUAUUUUACACACCAAUUAGAGGGGAAAAAAGGUGAGAUAUAUAUACAAGAAGUCGCUGGCCAGAAUUCACAAAAAAAAGGCUGCUUGGGAGUAAAAGAAAAGUGGCUGCUAGUCUAAAAUAUACAUAUACAUACACUGCCAGGUGAGAAAGUGGAGAAGACGAGUGCCAACUCGAGAAAUAUUUAUACACACUUUGGCGGCUGAACUUAGGGAAACUGGUUAUAUAUAUACACAGAAUUUGGUAGAAAAAGUGGAAGAAUUCUUGGGGUUUUGCUUUGGAAUUCAAACUUAGCAGCUGGAAGAUUGAAGGAAAAUAAAAGUCAGAAACAUUGUGGCUGGAAGUCAAAGAAAAGGCUACAGAUUUGGGAGGAAAACAACCGGCCAAAGUGAAAGAAAAAUACACUCGCGCGGAAGUCCAGAAAGAAAUUGAGGAAUUAAUCAUGUCUCGUCAAGUUUUGGUGAUUUCCUUCCACUUUUCUUUGAUUAAUUCCAACAGUAUGCUAGGCUAAUUUUUCUCCUGUAUUGGAUGGAUGACAAAGUUGUUU
rnacentral:lncRNA from 1 species